UUCUCAAUUUUGAAAUUUCUUUUUAUUGUAUAUGUGAUCAGGUGAAACCUUCCUUGGAACAUUGGCGAAGAACAUAAGCGGUUGAAUCAGAGUACUAGGGAUCGGGUCAUUCAUGAGUCCUUCAAGGGCGCUAGCGCAUACCCCGGGGUGAUCAUCACCACCUGCACCUCACAUCUCGGCACAGUGGAACGUGUAACCCGCCUGCUGUCCAAGUCAACCACUUAAUUUCCUGUAAUUCAUAGCGCCUAACAAAACGUAGCAGCAGGGGGCUCCUGCGGGUCUACCAUUGGCCAUUCAUUGGGUUACUGGUUCCCGCACGGUCGUCCAUCGGCUUGACCACAGUAUGGAUUACCGGAUCGAUAGACUUAAGACACGACCCUGCACUGAGAUAGUUACAUUACUAACAUUUGGAAUUCACUGCAGAACGAGAAGACUAGGAACAAGGAAGAACAAGCAUUGCCGCUUUCCUGCA
rnacentral:lncRNA from 1 species